rnacentral:tRNA from 1 species
GCCCACGUGGUGGAAUUGGUAGACACGCUGUCUUGAGGGGGCAGUGGCGAAAGUCGUGGGAGUUCGAGUCUCCCCGUGGGCACCA